UACCAGCCCCCUGAGUGGUAGGGACGAUUAUUUGGCCUAAAGCGUCCGUAGCCUGCUUGGUAAGUCUUUCGUCAAAUCUGACGAUUUAAUCGUUAGACCGCGGAAGAUACUGCCAGGCUUGAGGACGGGAGAGGUAGACGGUAGUCCCAGGGUAGGGGUGAAAUCCUAUAAUCCUGGGAGGACCACCAGUGGCGAAGGCGGUCUACUAGAACGUGCCUGACGGUGAUGGACGAAAGCUGGGGGAGCGAAC
rnacentral:rRNA from 1 species